GCAGUGGGGAAUAUUGCACAAUGGGCGCAAGCCUGAUGCAGCCAUGCCGCGUGUAUGAAGAAGGCCUUCGGGUUGUAAAGUACUUUCAGCGAGGAGGAAGGCAUUAAGGUUAAUAACCUUGGUGAUUGACGUUACUCGCAGAAGAAGCACCGGCUAACUCCGUGCCAGCAGCCGCGGUAGAAAUCUCUAGGAGU
rnacentral:rRNA from 1 species